rnacentral:rRNA from 1 species
UACGUAGGGUCCGAGCGUUUGUCCGGAAUUACUGGGCGUAAAGGGCUCGUAGGCGGCCAACUAAGUCAUACGUGAAAUCCCUCGGCUUAACCGGGGAACUGCGUCUGAUACUGGAUAGCUAGAGUUCGGCAGAGGGAAGCGGAAUUUCCGGUGUAGCGGUGAAAUGCGUAGAUAUCGGAAGGAACAUCAGUGGCGAAAGCGGCUUCCUGGACCAGAACUGACGAUCAGGCUGAAAGCGUGGGGAGCAA